AGAUGAGUUUCCAAGUUUGAUGUUUAGGGCGGGGUCAGGGCGGGGGCGGAGGUAAUUCAAGGACCCUUGCCAAGUGGGACGCUGCAACUGCCCCGCCAUUCAGAGACGCUCCUUUGCUCCCAGUCCCAUCUUAGUCCCCCAUGAGCGACAGAGGAAGGAGACGGUUCCCAUAACUCUAGGAGAAGUUUCAGCUGGGUUGCUUUUUUCUGCUGCUUGAAUUGAAAGGAAGUCUUUCUAAGGAGGCGGCUUGGGAACUGAGCAGUCAGUCUACGCACUUUGCCAAGUUUGGUGGAUGCAAAGGCUUAAUUGGACUCCUCACCUUUCCCCAGGUAUUGCCCGCAGUCAAGGGGGAGAGCCUUGGCCCUGCUUGCUAGUUAGAAUGUACUUUCUACAGGUUCAGCAAGGCAUACCUGGAAGUCUGAGUCUCCAUGCUCCUUUCUGUGUUUGACUCCUGUCUGCCAUGUCCACGUUUAUGAGGGGGUUAAAAUGAAAAAUCAAAAUUCCCCUUAGCCCAAAGUGUGUGUGUUUAAUUCCCAACUGGUAAGGUUUGGAUCUGUGUCAUCACCAAAUUCCAGUGGAAUUGUAAUCCCCAGUGUUGGAGGUGAGGCCUGGUGGGAGGUGAUUGGAUCCUGGUGGUAGAGUUCUCAUGAAUGGUUUAGCCCCAUCCCCGCCUGGUACUUUAUAGUGAAUGAAUUCUUACGAGAUCUGGUUUUUUAAAGUGUGUGGCACCUCCCCUCUCUCUCUCUCUCACUCCUGCUCUGCCAUGUAAGACACUUGCUCUCGCUUUGCCUUCCACUAUGAGUAAAAGCUCCCUGAGGCCUCCCCAGAAGCAGAUGCUGCCAUGCUUUCUGUAUAGCAUGCAGAACCAUGAGCCAAUUAAACCUCUUUUCUUUCCAAAUUACCCAGUCUCCGGUAUUUCUUUAUAGCAGUGGGAGAACAGACUAAUGCACCAACUCUAGGUAAUCACAUGCCAAUAUUACUUGUAUGUCCUUUAUCAAAGAACAUAUUCUGCCUCUUUUUUAUCUAAUAGAGAAUUUCUAAAAAGGAGUGAACAAUCAAAACUUUUGUAUGAUCAUAGAAUGCAAUUACAAAAAAAAAACAAAACAUAGUUUAGACACAACUCUCACCUUAUUCAUUAUUCAUUCAUUCAUUCAAACGUCAACAAGUCAUUUGCAAUGUUCCAGGGUCCAUGGUAGGCAUUCAAGGCAAUAACAACUUAUUUUAUUCAUGCUUAGUAUAUGUCAGGCAAUUUUUAUGUAUUUAAUCUUCACAGCAACCUUGUGAGGUAAGUACUAUUAGUUUCUGCAUUUUACAGUUGAGGAAACUAAGGGAAGAGGUUAAGAGGUACACCAAAGAUCUCAAAGCUAGUAAGGGAUCCACUAGAAAUUUGCACAUAGGAAGUCUGGCCUGUGCUCCAAACCACUGGGAUACACCCUGGAUACUCUUUAUCUCCCAAAGAGGAAGAGAAUUGCUCAGUUUAUAUGUUGCAUGAGUGAAUGAGAGUGAAUAAGUGUUUAAAUUCACUAUACUCAUAAAAUUUGGCUCUAUUGAAAUGGCUUAAGGCUCAACUGGAUAAGGAGCAAUACAGGUUACUCGGCCUGUGCAGAUAAUCUACUAAAUUCAACAGCUUGCAAUAGUUUACAACUCAAGCAGAGUAAAAUUCCUACCAUUGUAUAUUGCUUCAUAAAGAUUCCCUAGAAACAUCUGAAGAUGUGUUGUCUUGGUAGAAAUUAUAAAAAUCCAUGUGGUCUGCCAUGCAGCAACAGAGUAUGAAUUUAGGGUUUUUUGUUUGUUGGUUGGUGAUAGGUUGAUGGGGCUUGAAAACCACCACUAGUCAAUGUACAAUAUAAAGGUUUAAAAUGAAUUUUUUGCUAUGAUUUUUCACUUCCAUUUCCAGAUCAUUUACUUUAACAAGAAUUUCAGUUAAGUUCAAUUUAACUCAACAGUAAAUGGUGCAUGUUCAGCGUUAAGAAUUGUGCCAUAUGAGGGAGAUACAAAGAUGAAUAAGGCAUAAUUUUUGUCCCCCAGAAGCUUAAAACCUGAGGAAGCAAAUUUAUUGAUUCAUUCAUUUAACAAUAUUUAUUUAAUGUCUUAUUAUGUACCAAGCAUUACACAAGGAGCUCAAGCUACAAUGGCAAACCAAAGAGACAAAAUGUUUUCUUAAAAUAAGCUGGUUUACCACAAAUUAAUAAUUUUCUUCUAUAGGUUAAUUUUUCAGUUAUGGUACACCUUGAAUUUUACAAUUUUUUUUCUUUCUCUUACACAGGAAAGCAAAUUGAAGAAUUGGAGCACUGAAUAUAACAUACACAGACAUUUGAAUUACAAAUGUAUUAAUUAUUUAUUGCUGCAUAACAAAUUACUCCAAAAUUCAAUGGUUUAAAAAAAUAAACAUUUAUUAUCUCUGACA